rnacentral:rRNA from 1 species
AUUGAACGCUGGCGGCAGGCCUAACACAUGCAAGUCGGACGGUAGCACAGAGGAGCUUGCUCCUCGGGUGACGAGUGGCGGACGGGUGAGUAAUGUCUGGGGAUCUGCCCGAUAGAGGGGGAUAACCACCGGAAACGGUGGCUAAUACCGCAUAACGUCGCAAGACCAAAGAGGGGGACCUUCGGGCCUCUCACUAUCGGAUGAACCCAGAUGGGAUUAGCUAGUAGGCGGGGUAACGGCCCACCUAGGCGACGAUCCCUAGCUGGUCUGAGAGGAUGACCAGCCACACUGGAACUGAGACACGGUCCAGACUCCUACGGGAGGCAGCAGUGGGGAAUAUUGCACAAUGGGCGCAAGCCUGAUGCAGCCAUGCCGCGUGUAUGAAGAAGGCCUUCGGGUUGUAAAGUACUUUCGGCGGGGAGGAAGGCGAUGUGGUUAAUAACCGCAUUGAUUGACGUUACCCGCAGAAUAAGCACCGGCUAACUCUGUGCCAGCCGCCGCAGUAA